UACAGAGGGUGCGAGCGUUAAUCGGAAUUAUUGGGCGUAAAGAGCUCGUAGGCGGUGUGUCGCGUCGGCCGUGAAAACCUGCAGCUUAACUGUGGGCUUGCGGUCGAUACGGGCAUCACUGGAGUUCGGCAGGGGAGACUGGAAUUCCUGGUGUAGCGGUGAAAUGCGUAGAUAUCUGGAGGAACACCGGUGGCGAAGGCGGCAUCCUGGACCGACACUGACACUGAGGAGCGAAAGCCAGGGGAGCAAACGGG
rnacentral:rRNA from 1 species